rnacentral:rRNA from 1 species
CACGUAGGGGGCGAGCGUUGUCCGGAUUUAUUGGGCGUAAAGAGCUCGUAGGUGGCUCAGUAAGUCGGGUGUGAAAUUUCGAGGCUCAACCUCGAAACGCCACCUGAUACUGCUGUGGCUAGAGUCCGGUAGGGGAGCGUGGAAUUCCUGGUGUAGCGGUGAAAUGCGCAGAUAUCAGGAGGAACACCAGCGGCGAAGGCGGCGC